rnacentral:rRNA from 1 species
UGCGUAGGUGGCGUGGUAAGUCAGAUGUGAAAGCCCGGGGCUCAACCUCGGAAUUGCAUCCGAUACUGCCGUGCUUGAGUACUGGAGAGGUGACUAGAAUUCUAGGUGUAGCAGUGAAAUGCGUAGAUAUCUAGAGGAAUACCAAAGGCGUAGGCAGGUCACUGGACAGUUACUGACACUGAGGCACGAAGGCCAGGGGAGCAAACGGGAUUAGAUACCCUAGUA